rnacentral:rRNA from 1 species
UAAGGAAUAUUGGUCAAUGGAGGCAACUCUGAACCAGCCAUGCCGCGUGCAGGAUGAAGGCCCUAUGGGUCGAAAACUGCUUUUACACCAGAGAAAAUCCCUCCACGUGUGGAAGGUUGAUAGGAUGGCAAGAAUAAGCAUCGGCCAACUUCGUGCCAGCAGCCGCGGUAAGACGAAGGAUGUAAGCGUAAUCCGGAUUCACUGGGUUUAAAGGGUGCGUAGGCGGGAAGGUAGGUCAGAGCGGGAAUC